CUGGUUAAUUCCGAUAACGAACGAGACCUUAACCUGCUAACUAGUUGCUUUCGUUUUACGGUUGCUAACUUCUUAGAGGGACUAUGUAAAUCAAUUACAUGGAAGUUUGAGGCAAUAACAGGUCAGUGAUGCCCUUAUAUGUCCUGGGCUGCACGCGUGCUACACUGAUGUAUACAACAAGUGCCUAGCCAGACAUGGUAUGGCAAUCUCGAAUAUGCAUCGUGAUG
rnacentral:rRNA from 1 species